GAUGAACGCUGGCGGCGUGCCUAAUACAUGCAAGUCGAGCGAACGGACGAGGAGCUUGCUUCUCUGAUGUUAGCGGCGGACGGGUGAGUAACACGUGGAUAACCUACCUAUAAGACUGGGAUAACUUCGGGAAACCGGAGCUAAUACCGGAUAAUAUUUUGAACCGCAUGGUUCAAAAGUGAAAGACGGUCUUGCUGUCACUUAUAGAUGGAUCCGCGCUGCAUUAGCUAGUUGGUAAGGUAACGGCUUACCAAGGCAACGAUGCAUAGCCGACCUGAGAGGGUGAUCGGCCACACUGGAACUGAGACACGGUCCAGACUCCUACGGGAGGCAGCAGUAGGGAAUCUUCCGCAAUGGGCGAAAGCCUGACGGAGCAACGCCGCGUGAGUGAUGAAGGUCCUCGGAUCGUAAAACUCUGUUAUUAGGGAAGAACAUAUGUGUAAGUAACUGUGCACAUCUUGACGGUACCUAAUCAGAAAGCCACGGCUAACUACGUG
rnacentral:rRNA from 1 species